ACAACAUUUUUAUUUCCCAACAAACCAGUUUUAACUAAAUGAGACAAAACAACAGAGUUUGAAUCACCCAAUUUUCUAUGUCAAUCAUCAUAAGAAUUCAAAACAUUAUUACAAGCAAGAGAUAAAUGAUUCAAAAUAAAUUGAAGUGGAAACAAUCGUCCCACUUUAGGCCCCUUCCCGAUCACCUUCCCGGACACCUGCUCCUGCACAAGACAACCAUCACGAGAAAAAUUAACAUUAC
rnacentral:lncRNA from 1 species